UACGUAGGGGGCAAGCGUUGUCCGGAAUCAUUGGGCGUAAAGCGCGUGUAGGCGGCCAGGUAGGUCCGAUGUGAAAUCUGGAGGCUCAACCUCCAGCGGUCAUUGGAAACCAUCUGGCUAGAGUCCGGAAGAGGAGAGUGGAAUUCCUGGUGUAGCGGUGAAAUGCGCAGAUAUCAGGAAGAACACCGAUGGCGAAGGCAGCUCUCUGGGACGGUACUGGACGCUGAGACGCGAAAGCGUGGGGAGCGAACAGG
rnacentral:rRNA from 1 species